AUGUUUACGUAUUUUCAGUUCUUAGCAACGCUGUUUACUGUAUAUAGUUACUACCAAUUUUCCGUAGCACGGCGUCUGCUGAUAGAAAACAAGUGAUAAAUAAAUAAUCAAGUGAUCAUGGAAGAAGAGAAGAGUAAAGAAGAGCUUGAAGAUUGGAAAGUAUUCGAAGUAUUAAGAGGCAAAAGCCCAAUCGAGAUGGAAGCAGAUAUUGGCAAUGAUGUGGUGACAGCUUUGAGAAGUGAUUUAGCUGGACUUCAAUAUAAACGAGACAAAUUAUUUUCUGAAAAUAGCGAUUUGAAGAACCAAAUGCUGUCCAGAGAUCAAAGAAUCUUAGAGCAACAGGUGGAGAUUGACCAUCUUCGUGAGCAAAAUGCGCGCCAAAAUGCUAUUAUAUCAUCUCUCAAGAAGAAGAUUCAAGAUCUUGAAGAGAUCCAACGCAAUUUACAAGCUUCGCAAGGCAGAAGCGAAUUGACUGUACAAACGUUGCAGAGGGAUAACCGUUACUGUGAAGAAAAGAUCAAAGAUUUGGAGAAAAAAUUAAGAUCUCUAGAAUUAGAAUGCCAUAAUGAGGAACAACAAAAAGAAAAUGCUCGUUGUCAGUUUCACGAUCUCGUUAGAAGACUGUCAGUUGCACUGGACGCAGAUUUCUGUGAUACUACACACACGCAUUCGCCUGAAAGUCUUAUUAUUAAAGCGGCUGAACUCGUGCAGGAAAUAACUAGACUGAAAAAUAAAUGUAUGAACACAACAGAAAACUUAUCGACGAUUGAGCAAGAUCUCAGAAGUUGCAGAGAUUGUUUGGAAAGAGCGAAUGCUGACAAAGAUAUUUUACAGAGGCAGCUCUCUUCCCAGCUUCUCGAUAUUGAAAGACUCAAGCAAGAGAAGGAAUCUCUCUCUGUAUCAAACAGAGUUUUGGAAAGAGAAUUGCACGAAGCAAGAGAGAAACUAUCACACUGUACGAAAAACUUAAAUGUUGUUACUGAUAACGUCAAUCAAAAUGAGUCCAUGAUUAUACAACUAAAAGAGGAUUUGAGACAUCGGGAUGAAAAAUAUCAGAGAUUGCAGACAGAAUUCCGCAAUACCAUGGAAUCGAUUGCUAUAUUGCUCAGCCUACCCACACGUUUUGUUGAAGCUCACGAAAGCACUAUCAAAGACCGCAUAAGGGAAAUUUUGAGCGAAAAUAAGGAUAAAUCUGUACAAUUGGAAGCCCUACGUGAAAAACUAGGAAUGGAGUCGCAACAGCUUGGAAGGACCGCGCAUCUACACGAGCAAGCUACGACCCGUGUGCGUAUCCUUGAAGAUGAAAGGAACAUGCUCGAAGGAAAAGUCCAUAAAUUGGAGUCAGAGCUUAACGCUGUAGAAAUGUCAAGAGAUAACCUACGAAAGGAUAAGGCUAACUUCGUAGCAUUCCUCGAACGACUGAGCCGCACACUCAAUAUGGAUGAGUUGACUCAAGACAUCGGCUUAGAGCUUCACACCGACUCUAUAAUACACCGAGCCGAGCAGCUCGCCAGACUGGAGAGCGAUAAAAUUGUUGACAAGACUGCUGUCGUGUACCAACUGCAACGACGCAUACGCAUACUGAGAGAACAACUGCAGAGAAAGGACUUGCACUUGGAUUUGCUCCGGCGAAAAUUAAGCGUUCAGGAUGAAAGCUCCCGAGUCCGAGCUGUUCUCCAAGCGGAACGCGAUGAAGCUGUAAACCGUAGCAAGAAAUUGGCUCGACAGUGUGACAAACUCAGUGUGCAGUUGAGUGAAGCGCGCGCCCAGGUUCGCGAUCUCAACGCGCAACUCGCGGAUGCUGCUGAAUACAAGAUAACGUCACUUGAACGUGCACGAAAAAUUGAAGAACUACAAAAGAAAUUAGACGAAGCUGAACUACUUCGUACACGCUAUAGUCGAAAGGUGAAUCUUCUGAAGGAUCAAGUUAGAGCCACCGGGGAAACCUUCGAGCAAGAGAGAACUACGACAGAACAUCAGAUAACAAUGCUCAGAGAUGACAUCGCCAGGACCAAGGAAGCUCUCGCUGAAUGCCAGAGGAGGGAAGCCCAGCUGUUGAGCUUCAGGAGUUCGAUCGCCAAACUCCUCGGCAUACUAGUGCCUUCGUCUGUGUCGGACUUCGAAAUGGUGUCGAGACUACAGAAGCUGAUUGACGCGCAUCACGACUUUACGGUAGUCUCGCGACGAUACGACGACCCCGCGCUGCUGCGAGCCUCGUCCAGGUCUCCGCCGCCCUCCAGGUGCAGGACUCGGACUCCGGAUCGAUCCCUACGUUAUGAUGAUUCCGGAUACGCGGACCCGGCGUUCGACCUCGAGGACGACCUGUACAAGGGGCGUGCGGCUUUGUGACAGUCGCGCCGCCGCGCCCGCUUUUAACCGCCACCCGGAUAGGCUCGGCGAUACCUAAAACCCACACAUAAUAGGCGGAUACAUGACUACGCAGCAGCGUGCUGGCUAUCACACCAAGCUCAACUGUUAUCCUGCUGGUCGAUUAAAGAAGAGACUGCAUCAAUCGUUCUUACAACCUCAACUGUUGUGAUUGGCAGAAUUUAUGGUAUUCUUGGUGCA